rnacentral:rRNA from 1 species
GUUUACAACUCCCAAACCCCUGUGAACAUACCAAUUGUUGCCUCGGCGGAUCAGCCCGCUCCCGGUAAAACGGGACGGCCCGCCAGAGGACCCCUAAACUCUGUUUCUAUAUGUAACUUCUGAGUAAAACCAUAAAUAAAUCAAAACUUUCAACAACGGAUCUCUUGGUUCUGGCAUCGAUGAAGAACGCAGCAAAAUGCGAUAAGUAAUGUGAAUUGCAGAAUUCAGUGAAUCAUCGAAUCUUUGAACGCACAUUGCGCCCGCCAGUAUUCUGGCGGGCAUGCCUGUUCGAGCGUCAUUUCAACCCUCAAGCCCAGCUUGGUGUUGGGACUCGCGAGUCAAAUCGCGUUCCCCAAAUUUAUUGGCGGUCACGUCGAGCUUCCAUAGCGUAGUAGUAAAACCCUCGUUACUGGUAAUCGUCGCGGCCACGCCGUUAAACCCCAACUUCUGAAUGUUGACCUCGGAUCAGGUAGGAAUACCCGCUGAACUUAAGCAUAUCAA